UAGGUGGAUGCUCGCUGGUUAGAGCACUUAGCUGUUAACUAAGUAUAUGCGGGAUCGAGGCCCGCCCAUCUAU
rnacentral:tRNA from 1 species